rnacentral:rRNA from 1 species
UACGUAGGGUGCAAGCGUUGUCCGGAAUUAUUGGGCGUAAAGAGCUCGUAGGCGGUCUGUCGCGUCGGCUGUGAAAUCCCGAGGCUCAACCUCGGGUCUGCAGUCGAUACGGGCAAACUAGAGUAUUGCAGGGGAGACUGGAAUUCCUGGUGUAGCGGUGAAAUGCGCAGAUAUCAGGAGGAACACCGGUGGCGAAGGCAGGUCUCUGGGCAGUAACUGACACUGAGGAGCGAAAGCGUGGGGAGCGAACAGG